GUGCUUGUGGCCUCUACUAGUUGGAUGGGUAAAUCAAGUUGAAAGUUGGAAAGAUCCAGACUCUCUUAGGCCAUGCAUGCUUGGGAUGUGAUCCCAUGUGGAGAUUGAUCUACAGUCACAACUUCCUAGGGAAGGGUAUUUUUUUCUUCUUGCUUUUCCCUUUCAUCUCUAGUUCUGCAACAAAUCUAAGCGGUUGUCCCCGCAGUUCAGUUCCGAGAAGUUGAGGGGAGGGGAGAGUUCAGUCCAGAUUUGGUUUACUCUUAUCCUGAGAGAUCCUGAGGGGCUCCAGACUAAUGUAGGAUUGAUCUGCCUCAGAGUUUCUCACCUAGAUGGUCUCUGAGCCUCCACUUCAGCCUCUCUUUCCUUUGCACGGUCCUGGUACCCAAGCUCACAGGUUUGUUGUAUACUUAGAUGCCUUCAGGAAAAAGCAGCUUUAAUAAUAAAAUAUUUUUUGGUUACAGAAAAUUGAAAAUUUCACAUUAUCUUUUCAGAGCCUCAAUGUUUUUAAGGACACACACACACAGACACACUCUUAUGUGUAUGUGUGUUUGUAUUUAACAUAAAGGUUCUUUGUUAGAUUGUCUUGUGUUGGUUGUAGCUUGUGUAAGAGACUGUUGUUGAUUUUGAGAAAUAUUUUAUAUUUCAACUGGUUUCUGAAUACUUAUUGGAAAUUGCAGUUUCUAAAUUUGUGUGUGUGUCUUUCACAGCCAAACAGUCACCUUUUCUGGUAUUAUUUUUGGCUCUUUCUUUAAAUUACGUACUUCCACAACCACUGCUAUGAUUUACUUCCAUAAUCACUAUUUGUUUGCAUGGUCUCCUCUGGGCCCUGGCUGGCUGCUGAGAGCUUUACAAAUGUGGUUUUUCCCUCCACAGUGUGGACUGGGCUGCCUCAGGCAGAGCAAUGGGAGAACAAUAUCACAGGCCAAGCUCCUCAUGUUUUUGCUGAUCUGGGUCCCAGGUGCCUGUGGGGACAUCAUAAUGAUCCAGUCUUCCCGGUUGCUGGCUGUUUCUGCAGGAGACAGGUUCACCAUCAACUGCAAGUCCAGCUGGAGCAUUAGCAACUACUUAGCCUGGUACCAGUAGAAACCGGGACAGACUCCAAAGCGCCUCAUCUCCUGGGCAUCCACCCAGGCACCUGAGGUCCCUGACUGACUCAGUGGCAGCGGAUUUGUGACACAUUUCACUCUCACCAUCAGCAGUCUCCAGGCUGAAGAUGUGGCCGACUUUUACCAUCAGCAGUGUUAUAGCUCUCCUCUCACAGUGCUCCAGCCUUGAACAAGAACAUCCUCGGGUCUGCUUUUCAGCUUGUCAGCAUCUAAAGCACCAGAUGCUUCCUCCCCACACAGCCCUCGACUUGUGCACUUUCUCUGUCCGCCAGAGAGGCUGCGUGUCCUGACUCACUUAUGGGUUGGUUUGCAGGGCUAGGAGAUAAUUAAGGGUCUUGAUGUCUCUUUGACCUCCUGUUGUGGAAAGUCCCUAGAGGAAAAUGCUAUUAAGACCUCUGUAUUUCUUUUCUAUUGCUGUUGCAACAAAUUACCACAACCUUACUAGCUUAAAUAUUAAAAACUUAUCAUUUUAUAGUUCUGGUGUCAAAAGACAAAAAUGGGUCUCACUGGGCCAAAAGCAAGAUGCUGGCAAGGCUGCUUUCUCUUCUAGAAGUUCUGGGAGAGAAUCUGUUUUCUUGCCUUUCCUGCUCCUAGAGACUUCUGAGUUCCUUGGCAAGUGGCCCCCUUCCUCCAUAUUCAAAGCCUGUGACAUUGCAUCUUUCUAACUUUUCUUCUAUAGUCACAUCUUUCUCUGGUCACAGCCAGGAGAGAUUCUCUGCUUUUAAAGAUUUAUAUAAUUAGAUUGGCCCCACUCAGAGAAUCCAGGAGAAUCUCCUCAUCUCAAGGUUCUUACCCUUAUUCACAUCUUCGAAGUUCCUUUUGCCUCCCUGUGAGGUAACAUAUUAAUACGUUCUGGGAUAAUACGGCCUGGACAGCUUUGGGGGCCAUUAUCCUGCCUUCCCACAGCCUCCCUUGAACUCUUCUAUUUCAUUGUCAGGAACUUAGUCAGUGUGUUUUAUUCCGUUAGAUGCACAUGA
rnacentral:lncRNA from 1 species